rnacentral:rRNA from 1 species
AUUUAUAUACAAUACAAUAAUAUUUUGUCCCUCUCCAAACGAGAGUACAUGCAUGGGCUGGCAUGAGCGGCACGCUCCGCGGCCGUGGGGCUCGAGGGUCACUUUGCGUCCCGAGGCGCUGAACCUUGAUGCUUGGAAUUUCAUGCUCAGGGACUUUUGAAGAAGUCAUAUGUGUGUGCUUGUAUAUGUGUAUGUGUGUUGUGUUACGUUGCGUCGAGUUGUUGGGGUCACAUUUUUUACUAUGUGUGUAGUCUCCUAUUUUGCAUCACGUUGUGACGGGGAGCGUUUUAUUGGAUGUGUGUGUAUGGUCACUCGGAUAUUCUGCUAUGCCGCAAUUGUUCCAUGCAAGAAUAAAAUUAAUAGCAUGCCAUUGUGUUUUAUAAUAAUAUAUUCUGUACGCCUUUAUUUUGGGUGAGAUUCCCAUGUAUAUGACAUCCAAUAUGUCCAAGAGGCAAGUGUAUAUUUAUUUAUAUUUACAUAGAUCCCAUAUUUGUCGCACUGGUGGGGGGGGGGGGUUAUGCUCACCAUAUCACAAUAUAUUAUAUGCUGAGGGGACAACUUGCACACGUAUGGGGAAUUUAUAGGAAUAUGAUAAUAAGCUCCUUUGUGUUUGCCGCUUUUCUAGAAAUGUGAGAAUAAUGCAAACCGUAUAUUUUGUGGCUGUGAAGGUUUGUUAUAAUAUAUCGACAUAGUUUUCCCCUGUACAUACUAAUAAUAUACCAUGAGGCAUUAUGUGCACAAUAUGGGAGGUGUGGCUACUGUAUAUGUUAUUUGUUAACUCUUCCUUCGGAUGAAACACUACAGUGUCACACCUCUCCUUCUCAUAUCAUAUGUAUGUGCUUCACCUCACAUUAUUACUCCAUACCAUCGUGUUCUAUUGGAAGAAAUGAUGUGGAAUGAUAAGAUUGAGUGAAAAAAGAAAAGAUCAGAAAGGCAUGACUAUCUCUCUCUAUAGUGUGUGGUGUACGCUGUUGAUGCUUUGAAAGUUCUGCAUCAUCACGUGAUAUCUCAUAUACCCGUAUGCCGCGCUUGUGCAUACGUAUGUGUAUAUAUUUUCUUUGAUACAUUCUCGGCGUAAUGGAGAGUGUCCAUGUCAGUUAUUUUUUGUUUCCUUCACGAACUUACGCACUUCAAUGCGAAUUUCCAUCGUUUUACACACGGUGCAGUCGCUUAGCCCUAUUAUGCGAGGUGCGUGUGGUUGGGAAAAGAUUAAGAAGAAGAGAGGCUUUAACCGAUAUGUUAGAGAGGCGCAAAAGUAAUGUUCAUUUCAAAAGGGAUUUGGUUCUUUCUUUUCAUUUCCUUCAAACUUUUUAUUUCUACUGAAUAAGAGGUUUUGAUGGUGCAUAAAUGCGAACACUUGGUUCCUACCAUCGUACAUGUUUUUUUUUUUGU